UAAGGAAUAUUGCUCAAUGGCCGAAAGGCUGAAGCAGCAACGCCGCGUGAAGGAUGAAGGCCUUUUGGUUGUAAACUUCUGUAGAGAAAGAGAAAACCUCCAUUCUAUGGAGAUUGAUAGUAUUUCUAAAGUAAGCCCCGGCUAACUACGUGCCAGCAGCCGCGGUAAUACGUAGGGGGCAAGCGUUGUCCGGAUUUACUGGGUGUAAAGGGUGCUCAGGUGGUCUGAUAAGUCAGAGGUGAAAGCCCAGGGCUCAACCCUGGAACUGCCUUUGAUACUAUCAGGCUUGAGUAUGGAAGAGGUUGAUGGAAUUUCUGGUGUAGCAGUGAAAUGCGUAGAUAUCAGAAAGAACACCAGUGGCGAAGGCGGUCAACUGGUCCAUUACUGACACUAAAGCACGAAAGCGUGGGGAGCAAACAGGAUUAGAUACCCCUGUAGUCC
rnacentral:rRNA from 1 species